rnacentral:rRNA from 1 species
GUCCUCUUGAAUUUAAUUUGAGGUUUAACCUGCCCACUGAAAAAUUUUUAACGGCCGCAGUAAUUUGACUGUGCAAAGGUAGCAUAAUCAUUAGUUUUUUAAUUAAAAGCUUGUAUGAAGGGUUGGACGAGGUAAAAUCUGUCUCUAUUUAAUUUAUAAUAGAAUUUAAUUUUUAAGUUAAAAAGCUUAAAUAAAAAUAAAAGACGAGAAGACCCUAUAGAUCUUUAUAUUAUUUAUAUUAAUUUUAAUAAAGAAUUUUUUAUUAAUUAAUAUUUAUAUUAUUUUAUUGGGGUAAUAAAAAGAUUUAAUUAAUUCUUUUAUAAUUUAUACAUUGAUUAAUGAAUAAAUGAUCCAAUUAUUUUGAUUAAAAGAUUAAGUUACCUUAGGGAUAACAGCGUAAUUUUUUUAGAGAGUUCUUAUCGAUAAAAAAGUUUGCGA